CGAAGCCGGUAGUCAAUCGUAUAAAAGCCGACUAUAUGCGGUUUAGUGCAUCAAACUCCACAGUGCUGAACAUAUAGUCAAAACUGAACUUGAAGGUAAGACGCGGGGCAGUGGUUUUAUCGGAAAUCCGGGUGAACAAAUAUAAACAAGUGGAAGCUAAGACACCGCCGUCAUCAUGGUUGCUGUGGCUAAUGUGUUUGGAUUGGCGCUACUCUUAAUUCUCUCCACUGCCGGCCCCGUAUCGGGAUUUCUAGGAAGCGGUGGUAUCAUUGACAUCAUCAUAGACAGAGUU